GAUCGCGAUUUGUACCCUGUUCGUCGGGUCACAAAGAGUUAAAAUAGUAGACGAUAUCUAAGCAUGUAGUAUUCUCGAGUGUAGUGCUGGCGGACGCGGGUUCAACUCCCGCCACCUCCACCA
rnacentral:tmRNA from 1 species